rnacentral:rRNA from 1 species
UACGGAGGGUGCAAGCGUUGUCCGGAAUCACUGGGCGUAAAGGGCUCGUAGGCGGUCUGUCGCGUCGGGAGUGAAAACUCAGGGCUUAACCCUGAGCCUGCUUCCGAUACGGGCAGACUAGAGGUAUGCAGGGGAGAACGGAAUUCCUGGUGUGGCGGUGAAAUGCGCAGAUAUCAGGAGGAACACCGGUGGCGAAGGCGGUUCUCUGGGCAUUACCUGACGCUGAGGAGCGAAAGUGUGGGGAGCGAACAGG